AUAUCUCUGUAGAGUCUGCAUAUCAAUAAGCGGAGGAAAAGAAACUAACUAGGAUUCCCUCAGUAACGGCGAGUGAAGCGGGAAGAGCUCAAAUUUGAAAUCUUCAAGGCUUUACCUUGACGAAUUGUAGUUUAAAGAAGUGUUUUCUGUUGGUGUUUUGGUAAAAGUUUUUUGGAAUAGGACAUCAUAGAGGGUGAGAAUCCCGUAUUUGACCAUUACUUCCAGCGUUGUGAUACACUUUCAAAGAGUCGGAUUGUUUGGGAAUGCAGUCCAAAAUGGGUGGUAAAUUUCAUCUAAAGCUAAGUAUUGGCGAGAGACCGAUAGCGAACAAGUACCGUGAGGGAAAGAUGAAAAGAACUUCGAAAAGAGAGUUAAACAGUACGUGAAAUUGUCAAAAGGGAAGCGUUUGACACCAGUGUUGUUUUCUCGAAAAUCAAUUAAAAGUGGCGGGAUUUUGUGUUGUAUUGACUUUAUCAGCUUUCUGCACUUUUUUCCUGUCUUUUUUAAUGCACUUUUCGUUUAACAAGUCAACAUCAAUUUCUUUUGUUGUAAAAGGGUCAUUGGAAGGUGGCUUUCUUUUCGGAGAAAGUGUUUAUAGCCUUUGACUCCUGCAAUCGGAGAGACUGAGGUCUGCAGCGUAGAUCCUUCUUGGAUUAGAUUCAUUUGUGCUAAGUUAUAGCUUUUCAUAGACAACUUGUUGACUAUGAUCAGUCAUGUAGCUUACUCGCUUAUGCUAUUUUACCUACGCUUAGGAUGUUGAUCUCUCACAGUCGAGC
rnacentral:rRNA from 1 species